rnacentral:tRNA from 1 species
GCCGGAUUAGCUCAGUGGUUAGAGCGAAGGACUGAAAAUCCUUGCGUCCCCAGUUCGAUUCUGGGAUCCGGCACCA